AAGGUUGGCUAAUCCUGGUCGGACAUCAGGAGGUUAGUGCAAUGGCAUAAGCCAGCUUGACUGCGAGCGUGACGGCGCGAGCAGGUGCGAAAGCAGGUCAUAGUGAUCCGGUGGUUCUGAAUGGAAGGGCCAUCGCUCAACGGAUAAAAGGUACUCCGGGGAUAACAGGCUGAUACCGCCCAAGAGUUCAUAUCGACGGCGGUGUUUGGCACCUCGAUGUCGGCUCAUCACAUCCUGGGGCUGAAGUAGGUCCCAAGGGUAUGGCUGUUCGCCAUUUAAAGUGGUACGCGAGCUGGGUUUAGAACGUCGUGAGACAGUUCGGUCCCUAUCUGCCGUGGGCGCUGGAGAACUGAGGGGGGCUGCUCCUAGUACGAGAGGACCGGAGUGGACGCAUCACUGGUGUUCGGGUUGUCAUGCCAAUGGCACUGCCCGGUAGCUAAAUGCGGAAGAGAUAAGUGCUGAAAGCAUCUAAGCACGAAACUUGCCCCGAGAUGAGUUCUCCCUGAGACUUAGAGUCUCCUGAAGGAACGUUGAAGACGACGACGUUGAUAGGCCGGGUGUGUA
rnacentral:rRNA from 1 species